rnacentral:rRNA from 1 species
AAAAUACAAGGCAGUUAAAAUGCUUUGUAAUUGGAAUGAUAGAAAUUUAAACCCUUUUUAAAGUAUCAAUUGGAGGGCAAGUCUGGUGCCAGCAGCCGCGGUAAUUCCAGCUCCAAUAGCGUAUAUUAAAAUUGUUGCAGUUAAAAAGCUCGUAGUUGAAGUUCUGCUGAAAGUAACCGGUCUGCUUUUAAUAAAAGUGGUAUCUUGGUAUGUAUUUAGCAAUGAUGUCCUUUGAAGUGUUUUUUACUUUAUUGUAAUAAAGCAUAUUCAGGACUUUUACUUUGAGAAAAUUAGAGUGUUUCUAGCAGGCUAACGCUUUGAAUACUGCAGCAUGGAAUAAUAAGAUAGGAUUUUAGUUCUACAUUAUUGGUUUUAAGAGCUAAAUUAAUGAUUGAUAGGGACAGUUGGGGGCAUUUGUAUUUAACUGUCAGAGGUGAAAUUCUUAGAUUUGUUAAAGACAAACUACUGCGAAAGCAUUUGCCAAAGAUGUUUUCAUUAAUCAAGAACGAAAGUUAGGGGAUCGAAGACGAUCAGAUACCGUCGUAGUCUUAACUAUAAACUAUGCCGACUAGAGAUUGGAGGUCGUCUUUAUAAAC